AAACCAUGAUGAGGGCAAUUUAAGAAGAGGUCUUUGAAACGUUCCAUACAUCGAGAGAAUGAUUCAUGGGGGUCUCUGGCGAAACUAGAGGAUGUCGUUCCUAAGCUU
rnacentral:snoRNA from 1 species